rnacentral:tRNA from 2 species
GCGAGAGUGGCGGAACUGGUAUACGCGCUGGAUUUAGGAUCCAGUGCCCAUAGGGCUUGGGGGUUCGAAUCCCCCCUCUCGCA